GAAAUCCCCGGAUGCUGCGAAUGAUGUCUUUGGUUUUCUAAGCUACGGAUUCUCCUAAACCCGAUUACCUGUCUCUGUCAAGUCAAUAGGUUACAUUUCAAUCGCUCUUACACAGUGAAGAGCUUCGUGUGGAGGAGCAAGUGGUUGCAGUUAUCAACAACGUUCACUGAAAUCUGCGAGUGAGUAAAUGGUUCCCAAAUUCCUCAUUGCAAGAUUAUCUCUAUCAUUCACACACCACAGGAGUACCCAUUUCCAAUUGCUGCAACCCAAACACAAUGCUAUCCUUUUGUUCUUCAAUUCAUUCACUUCAGGCACCUCUUCUGAUUCUGAAUCAGAUGGAAACCACCCUAAAGGUGACACCUUUACUGUGUCUUACCUCAUCAACUCAUGUGGGGUGUCCCCAACAGUGGCUAAGGAACUCUCCAAAAGGGUCAAUUUGAAAACCCCAGAUGGCCCAAAUGCUGUUCUUGAUCUUCUCAACAACUAUGGGUUCUCAAAAACCCAGCUUGCAAAACUUGUAAUGAGACACCCUUUUGUGCUUGGUUCAAAUGCAGAGAAUACCCUUUUGCCUAAACUCAAGUUUUUACAAUCCAUUGGGGUUUCUAACAGUGACAUGCCUAAAAUCGUCAUUAAUAGUCAGCAUAUCUUGUUCAGAAACUUGGAAAAAUGCCUCAUUCCGCGCUAUGAGAUCCUAAAGAGUGUACUUCGUGACGAUGGGGAAGUUGUAAGAGCUUUGAAAAACGCCCCUUUUGCUUUUACUUAUAGUGGCGUGGUGAAUUACUUGGUUCCAAACAUUGAGGUUUUGAGGCAAUGUGGUGUGCCCCAAGGUUCCAUCUCUUACAUGAUGAUCCAUUGUGGGAGUGUAGCCUACAGGAACCAUUCUAAGUUUAUGGAAGCUGUCAACACUGCUAAGGAAAUUGGGUUUGAUCCUUUGAAAACAGCGUUCAUAGUGGCUAUUGAAAUGCUUCUAACUAAGAGCAAAGAAACAUGGGAAUCAAAGUUUGGGAUUUAUGAGAGGUGGGGCUGGAACCGUGAAAUGGCUCUUCGAGCAUUUCGUAAGUUUCCCGGUGUUAUGAAGUUGUCAGAGGAGACGUUUACCAAAAAAAUGAGUUUCCUAGUGAAGGAUAUGGGUUGGUCACCAGAAGAUAUUGCUGAAUACCCUGUAGUUAUGGGGUACAACUUGGAGAAGAGGAUUAUCCCUAGAUUCUCGGUAAUCAAAAUCUUGAUAUCAAAAGGUCUGCUUGAGAAUGAUGUGCACUUCAGUGGCAUUAUUUGCAUAACUGAGGAAAACUUUUUGGAGAAAUUUGUCAUCAAUUUUAAGGAAAAUUUGCCUCUCUUGCCAAAUGUCUACAACAGUUUGAUCAAUGCUCAGAGUGUAAUUUAGUCUUCGAAGAUUUUUGCUGGUUUAAUCAUUUAUCCUAUAAAAGGGACAUUAGAGCACGUGUUAACACACCAAAAUUGAGAAGUUCCUUUUCUUUCAGGAUCACCAUCAUAUAGGAGGUCCACUUUUGGCUAUUGUGUUCUUAUUGGGUGAAUUUGAUCACUUCAAGAAGCAAGAGACAAAAUACAAUAGCUAGGUCCAACACUGAAGCUGAAUACUUUGACAUGGUUGCAGUUGCAUGCAAAAUUUUAAAUGGCUUAGACAACUUCAACAACUACAGUUUGUAGACACUUAGAUAUUAAGCUUAUUUGUGACGAUCAAGCCAUUCUUCACAUUACAUCUAAUUCAAUCUUCUAUGAAUGAACUAAACACUAAGAUAAAUUAUCAUUUUGUGAAGGAGAAAGUGUUUUCUAGUGGAAUCACUGUUGACUUUGUUAGUUCUAAUGAUUGAUUGACAAAUAUAUUCACUAAUUCUCUUAAGGGGUCCUAUGUUGAUUACAUUUGUAGCAAGCUUGGUUCAUCUGAUAUAUAUGUUCCAACUUGAGAGGGAGUGUUAGAGAUAAGAAAAAUAUGU